AGUGAACGCUGGCGGUAGGCCUAACACAUGCAAGUCGAACGGCAGCACAGUAAGAGCUUGCUCUUACGGUGGCGAGUGGCGGACGGGUGAGGAAUACAUCGGAAUCUACUUUUUCGUGGGGGAUAACGUAGGGAAACUUACGCUAAUACCGCAUACGACCUACGGGUGAAAGCAGGGGAUCUUCGGACCUUGCGCGAUUGAAUGAGCCGAUGUCGGAUUAGCUAGUUGGCGGGGUAAAGGCCCACCAAGGCGACGAUCCGUAGCUGGUCUGAGAGGAUGAUCAGCCACACUGGAACUGAGACACGGUCCAGACUCCUACGGGAGGCAGCAGUGGGGAAUAUUGGACAAGGGGCGCAAGCCUGAUCCAGCCAUACCGCGUGGGUGAAGAAGGCCUGCGGGUUGUAAAGCCCUUUUGUUGGGAAAGAAAGGCAGCAGGUUAAUACCCCGCUGUUCUGACGGUACCCAAAGAAUAAGCACCGGCUAACUUCGU
rnacentral:rRNA from 1 species